AGAAGGAUUACUUAGCAAAGAAAAGCACAUUAUCUGAGAGGCAAUCCAAAAUCAACUUGAUGAAAUGACAUGAAUGUAGCCUGGAAGUUUACUGCAUCUGCCACAACUCAAUUUCCAGCAGAUUUAUUAUGCAAGGGCUGUGAAUACUGUGGGAAAUGCUGCCAUGGAGAUUGCAUAGAUAUUCGUGAGAAGGAUUCCUGCUUAUUUGGAAAGAGAAAAAGUUCUUUUCACAAAAUCUAAAUCUUCAGGCAUUUGCUGUUCAAAUAAAGAUAACUGGAACAGGUCGGGAAGGAAGAAAAGAAAAAAUGACAGAAAUAAAAUAGGAAUCUACCUCAAAAUACCCCCACAGUGGUGAAUGGAUUGCUUGUUAAUGUGUAAAUAAUUCCAAUAAGUAUGACUCUAGUCGAGGAAAACAACGUCACCAGUACCAGUAUCGAGUUUGUCCCACUUUUGCCCCGGAGAAAAAGAUUGAAACAGUAGUGAAAAAAGAGGAUAUAGUUCUAAAACCGAUCUUCAGUGAAGCAAACUAUACCGAUGAUGAUGGGAGCUGGGCCUGCGAAAAGAAAAUCCUCUGUUCCAGUUAGUAAGCCAUCUCAACAUUCAACUAACACAAAGGAAAAGGAAAAAUGAAGACAUCAUUCCUCUACUACUCUUUGGGAGCACCGUCGCCGAAAGAGAAUAACCUCGUCUACAGAUUAGAGAGGUGAAAGUGAGAUAAAAAAAUCUCCAGACGGAACAAGCAAAAGGUAUUUCGGCAGAUAAUCACGCACGCAAAGAAAAAUAGUCAAAUUUAAUUUGAUUACCUCGACACAUUUUACCUCGAGACGAUUUUAGGUCAUCCAAUUACGGACCAUAAGAGACUUUGCGUCCAGAAACUAAAUACUGCAGUGACCAGUGCGGGCUGAAAUUGGCGACAACAAUACCAGGUAAAGGUAUUGUCUAGGUUUUGCGCUAACGGGUUCAAAAAUGUGGCUUAAUACCAGAUGAAGAAAAGAAGAAAAAAAGAAUUAGAAGGAAUUAGAACUAAUUUGUUAGUAGCAAAACGAAGCACGGGUAACUCUGAAAGAGCUGAAUGUUAAACAAAAGGUUGUUUUCGUCUAGGAGUUCAAUCAUUUUUAGGUUUUUUUUUUUUUUUCUGACGUGAUUA